UAUUAUAAUAUGUGUAAAUGUGGAAGGGCCUGAGUAGUAAUAGCUAUGGUCUUGAAACUCAAAGGAUUUGGCGGUGUUAUAGUCUUUUCAGAGGAAUCUGUCCUGUAAUCGACAGUACACGAUUAGUCUUACUUUAUUUGGUAAUCAGCUUGUAUACCGCCGUCAUAAGAUUAUCUUGUGGAGAGAUUUAAUUUUCUUUAUAUUAUAAUAAGUAAGAUGUCAGGUCAAGGUGCAGUUUAUGGUGAAGGAGAGAUGGAUUACAAUAAUACUAAUUAUACGGAUUAUUGAUGUUAAGAUGAAUAUGAAGGUGGAUUUGAUUGUAAGUUUAUUAAUGAUGAACUGAUUAUAGCUCUAUAAUGUGCACACAUCGCCCGUCGCUCUCGUUAUAAUAUGAG
rnacentral:rRNA from 1 species